rnacentral:rRNA from 1 species
CGGUAAUUCCAGCUCCAAUAGCGUAUACUAAAGUUGUUGCAGUUAAAAAGCUCGUAGUUGGAUUUCUGCGGGGACGGAGCGGCCGGACGCAACUUGCGUCUCGAGCUAGCGCUUUCCCCGCAUCCUGCCGCGAACCGUGCUACCAUUAGCUUGGUGGCGCUGGAGAUCGGCUCGAUUACUUUGAGAAAAAUAGAGUGUUCAAAGCAGGCCACACGCCUUGAAUAAGUUAGCAUGGAAUAAUGACUAAGGACUUCGGUUCUAUUUUGUUGGUGUUCGGGACUGAAGUAAUGAUUGAUAGGGACAGUUGGGGCGGUCUGUAUUCCAAAGCGAGAGGUGAAAUUCUUAGACCUUCGGAAGACAAACAGCUGCGAAAGCGUUCCGCAAGGAUGUUCCCUUUGAUCAAGAACGAAAGUUGGGGGAUCGAAGACGAUCAGAUACCGUCGUAGUCUCAACUAUAAACUAUACCAGCUAGGGAUCGGUCAACGUUUAAUCAUUCGACUUGAUCGGUACCUUAUGAGAAAUCAAAGCAUCUGGGUUCCGGGGGGAGUAUGGUCGCAAGGCUGAAACUUAAAGGAAUUGACGGAAGGGCACCACCAGCCGUGGAGCCUGUGGCUUAAUUUGACUCAACACGGGAAAACUUACCAGGUCCAGACAUAGUAAGGAUUGACAGAUUGAUAGCUCUUUCUUGAUUCUGUGGGUGGUGGUGCAUGGCCGUUCUUAGUUGGUGGAGUGAUUUGUCUGGUUAAUUCCGUUAACGAACGAGACCCCAGCCUGCUAAAUAGCGCGGCUGAGCUUUGCUCGGUGCGAGCUUCUUAGAGGGACUAUGAUGCGCGAUAGCACAUGGAAGUUUGGGGCAAUAACAGGUCUGUGAUGCCCUUAGAUGUUCUGGGCCACACACGGGCUACACUGGCGCCUGCAACGAGCAUAUCAGCUGGCCCGAGAGGGUCUUGGCUAAUCUUUUGAACCGGCGCCGUGCUUGGGAUUGACCAUUGCAAUUGUUGGUCAUGCAACGAGGAAUGCCUUGUAAACGCGAGUCAUCAGCUCGCAUUGAAUACGUCCCUGCCCUUUGUACACACCGCCCGUCGCUCCUACCGAUGAAUGUUCCGAUGAAAUUUUCGGAGAGCGCCGGAGAACGGGGCUCUGCCCUGCAGAACUGGAGGCUCAAAGUCACUUAAAUCUGAACAUUUCGAGGAAGGAGAAGUCGUAACAAGGUAGCC